UAAGUACUCCCUCCGUCCGGAAAUACUUGUCAUCAAAAUAAAUAAAAGGGGAUGUAUCUAGAUGUAUUUUAGUUCUAGAUACAUCCCUUUUUGUUCAUUUUGAUGGCAAGUAUUUUCGGACGGAGGGAGUAUGAU
rnacentral:pre_miRNA from 1 species